AGUUCUUUUCCUCUGUUUCUAUUCCUUGAAGUAGAAUCUGUAAGUCAGUAUAUUCCUUUGAUUGUGAUCAAAUACAGAUUCAUGAUCUCACUGUAAGCACAAGUUUUAUGUGAACCAAGAAGUUCUUUAUAGAUAGAUGUACAAAGCAAACAAAGCCCACAUGCAACCAUAGAAAAGAGCAAAACAGAUUUUUCAAGGAAGAUCAAAACAUUAAAAGAGAAACCAAACAUCUGCAGAGGAUUGGUGUUUCAUUGAUUAGGCUUUGGUUCAAUAUCUUUGAGAAGACCAACUACUUGUUGCAUGCUUGGGCGCUUUGAAGGAAGAUCAGCCGUGCAAAGGUACCCAAUCUUGAGAGCUUCUUCCAUCUGAUCUUCUGAGCCCGUCUGUUGUAUUUUCGGAUCAAUAGCCUUUGAUCCUUGACUCUUCCUAACCAAACUUCUAAUCCAAGUCACGAGGUCUGUAUCUUUCUCAUCAAGAUACUCAUCUCCAACAGGUUUCUUCCCUGUGACCAGCUCAAACAGAACAACACCAAAGCAAUAUACAUCAGAUUUUGUCGUUGGCAGUUCUUGCUCAGGCUGCAAGAACUCAGGAGGGAGAUAACCGGGCGAGCCGUUGGCAAUCUCAUCGUCCAAUCCGCUUCCAAGGACUUUAGCCAAACCAAAAUCAGACAAUCUCGGUUCCAAGUUCUGGUCAAGAUAGACGCUACUAGCUUUCACAUCCCUAUGGAUCAUUGGCGGUGAACAACCGUGGUGAAGGAAGGCCAAUGCUCUGGCCGUUCCAAGCGCAAUCAUGUGCCUAAACCGCCACGUUGCAACCGGACCUUCAUGCCCUAUGUUUUGGAUUCCAUUGUCACCUUCUUCUUCCCAUGUAUCCGUGCUCCAGUCAUCUGUUGUCUGAACUCCAAACGGCAGGUCUUGAAGCAGGUUUUGCAAGUUACCGUUCUCCAUGUACUCAUAGAUAGCUAUCCUCUGAUCACCAGCUAUGCAGUAUCCAGUUAACGGAACAAGAUUCGGAUGCUUGAUUCUCCCAAGAAACUCCAGCUCUCUAGCUGCUUCUUGGUCGCUAAGAGUCGAGCCAUGGACCAAAACUUUUACAGCUACAUGGAUCCCACCAGGGAGGAAGCCUCUGUAGACCGGACCGAACUUACCUUCUGCUAAAAGAGUGUCUCUGUCGAAAUGGGAAGUCGCAGACAAGAGAUCUGAGAAGGUGAUGUUCAGCAACGGCUUCUCAAAGAUAACGACGGGAACCGCGUUUGCCUGCUUGACAUCAGCCACCCAUGUGGUGGAAUCUGUCUGGAAAGAAAACGGACCUGAGAUGCUUUGUUCUUCCUUAACUGAGACAUCUUUGGCUUCACUGGUUUUAACUUUCCUUUUGUGGCCAAACGCUACAAAAACCAAAGCUGCUAUGAGUAAGAACAUGGCGGAGAGCGUCACCGCCAAAGCCACCUUGAGUACUCCAGUGGCUGAGCGUCUCCUCUUGAAGAGCGCAGGGUCUGCAGCGAUAGGGCAGCUGCUUGUAGAGCCAAAGAAGGAUCUGGUGAGAGUUUCAGGCGAGAAUUUUUCAGUGCAAAACGUUAAGUUGUUGUAAGAGAAGUUGAAACUCUCCAUCCACUGGAGCUUCUCAAUGAUAGGCAUUGGUAUCUCUCCAGUCAAAUUGUUCCUGGAAACAUCGAUAGCCGCGAGGUUCUUGAUACUCAACAGAGGGAUGUUUCCUGAUAGAUGGUUUCCAGAAACAUCAAGUGUGUUCAAGUCACUCAGCUCUGAGAUCUCUAUUGGUAUGUGACCAGAGAGAUUUGUGUUAGACAAGUUGAGAUACUCCAAACCAGAGAUCAUCUGGAUCCUAGGAAACACCCCUCUGUUGAAUCUGUUCCAAGCUAGAUUUAAGUGCUUAAGCUUCUUUAGUAGUGUGAGAUUCUUGAAGAUAUCUCCACUGAGCUCAUUCUCAGACAAGUCUAGAUAAACCAAACUAGUCCAGUUGGAAUCUACCUGAGAGAUAUGACCUUGAAACCGGUUCUUGCUGAGAUCAGCCACCUCAAGAGUCUCCUUGAACAAACCUGUUGCUGAACCCUCAAACUGGUUCCCUGAGAUGUUAAAAGAAGUGAUGGACUUCAUGUCAGAAAAAUCUCUGUCCCUGCCAUGGAUCUUGUUUCUUGCUAUGUUCAAAGCUUUGAGCUUCUGAAAUGCAGAGGCAAACCCAUCAGGGAGAGACCCUUCAAGCUGGUUAGAGGAGAGAUCAAUGGAAACAAGAGACUGGCAGCCAAGAAGUCCUCUUGGGAUAGACAUCUGAAACCCAUUGUGAUCAAACUUCAAGACUCUCAAGCUGACAAGAGAGUCCACAGCCUCAGGGAUUUGACCUGAGAAGUUGUUGUGAGAGAGGUCAAGGGACUCAAGCUGCCCAAAGUUGCCAACAUUGCUGGGGAAAGAGCCAGAGAUCUGGUUGAAGGAGAGGUUGAGGCUCUUCAAAGUGGUCAGACUCCAGAAAUCAGAUGGCAAAGCAGAGAUUCUGUUGUUGCUGAGAUCCAGAGACUGGAGCUUGCUGAGUUUGCCAAGGGUUGUGUCAGGGAUUGGACCAGAUAAACCCAUCCCAGUGGCAAUUAACACAGUCACAUGCUCAUUGUUGGAAUCACAGAACAAGCCUUGCCAUGAGCAAAAGGGAGCAGAGAAGUUGUAAGCUUGAGCAGAGGUUAAACUCAUUUGUUUGAAGAAUUCAGAGACAAAGAAACCAUCUGUGUUUGGUUCUUGGCAAUAAACUUGCUUCAAGAACAGAGGAAGAAUCAAUGCAUAACCCCAGAAACCAAAACCCAUUUGAUAAAAUCUCUCUUUCUCCCAAGAAAAGUUUAUAGAAAGCAGAAUCUCACUAAAGCUACUUUAAAGUCUUUCAUGCAAAAACCCAGAAAGCUCAAGCAGUUGAAGACAAGAUGAGGAGAGAGAUAUAGAGAUAGAAAAAGAGUUUACUUGACUAUGUGGUGCUUCUCAAGUACACGAGAAACCAAAAGGACAUAAAAUCAAGAAAAAGGAGCAUUUUUGUCAGUGCCUAGCAUCAUGGAUAUAUGUAAACUUUGAGUAGAUUAAUAAUUUAAUAUAAUAUUAAGCUUCCUCUGAGUGUGACAUGACAAUCUAUUUUAAUUGAGAAUUCUAAUAAAUACCAGAGAGAGAGGUGUGGACACAGUUAGGAGCAGAAAGGGGGUGAAGCUUUUUCAUAAAUGAGAGAAUUCAUUCACUCGGAUUUCAGAAACAGUAUCAUUGGUUUCUUUUUCUAGUUGAAAGUCAUUGAUUCUUCUCACCGCAAACCCGUUUUUGUCAAUCUUUUAGGUGAAUCCAUUUCAACUGUUUUUUUUUUUCCCUCUAGCCAGAAAGUUUAAUUUUCUUUUCAAUAAUUCAAGAGCAUCAGCAUUGACACAAUCUCUCUUAGAAGAGUACCUUUCACAUAUAAUAUCAUUUAAUUAAUUUGUAUAAUUAAAUGUUAAAUUCAAAAAUUAUUAGAUCAAUGAAAAGAUAACAUGUAAAAGAAGAGUCCCUGAUCUAUUUUUGUAAGUUUUUUGAAGAACAAUAGCUUCUGCACUUCUCUCCUCUUUUUCUUACCAUUUCUUUUACUUUUUCUCUUUAUUUUAUUACCCCUUCCAUUUCCGAAAAUAAGAUUUUCUAAAGUUUUCAUGUUUAUUAAAAAUAUAAUAAAUGUUUACAAUUUAAUUUACAAUUUAAUUUUUAAUACACUUUACAAUAAUCAUCCACUAAUAAAAUUUAAUCAGUUCAAAUAUUCACAAUUAAUGUUUCUAAAAAAUAAACAAAAAUAUCUUAAAAAUAUAAAAAAUCUAUUUUUGUGGAACAAGAAAAAACUCUAUAAAAUCUUACUUUCGGGAACGGAAAGAGUAUUAAAAAAGUGAGAAUUUCUUCUUCAUACCUUCACUACACCUGCUCUAAAAGCAUCUUUAAAAAAACUCUAUAACUUCAAAUAUAAAGUUUUGAGGAAUGAAAACUUCAAAUUUGAAGUUUCCUCUUUUUAUUUGCAUUUUGAUCCUUAUAAUUAAUUACACAUCACAUUUAUGAUUCUUAAGUAUUUUCUCAUUUAUCGUUCUAAUCCUUAUUUUUUAUAAAUCAUAAAUAUUUCAAAAAAAAUUAUGAGUUAACAUUUUACACAUAAAAUUAAAUAAAAAAGUUAAAAUAAGAUUUAUAAUAUCUCAAGACUAUAAUUAGAAAACAAGAAUAUUAUAAAAGAAACUUAAUAAAAAAACUCUUAAAUAAGAUACAUGAAGACAUAACUAUUAGGAAAAAUUAAAUAUUACAAUAACACUAAUAGUCUGGUAAAUUUGCUCAAGAACCUUCAAAAUUUCCAAAAUAUUGUCCAAAACUUUUUUUGUACCCAAAGAUGGAGAAUGACGGAAAUAAUUUUAUGGAAUAAUGUGGUAUUUUUUUGUAGUUUAAUAUUUAGUUAUGUAUUUCUAUUUAUAAUUUUAUACAUUUGAUGUAAGAUUUUAUUAAUUAAUAUUACUAUAAUAUUUUUAUAUAUGUGCUAGUUAUUUAUAAAUUUUUUUGAAUUUAUAUUAAAUCUUUUUAACACUAAAUGUUGAUUUCAUAGUAUAUUUGUCUUUAAAUAGAUUAGAUAGUUUUUUUAUUGAAAUUAUUUUUGUAAACGUAUUUUUGUAGAUAAAUAAUCAUAUACAAUUUCAGCCAAAAAUGUUUAAUUUAUGACCAUUUUUUGCAAAAGCGUGAGAAAAGAUUUCCAGCUUCUAUUUUUGUACUUGGAUAUUUCAAACUUAUUAAUACGACUAAAAGUGGAUAACAUGCAAUUAUUACGGUUAGGUUCAUCUAUGAAUGUUUAUAGGGUGAAUUUGCCAUCUAACCAAGUUUGGAGUCAAAAGAAAACACUUUCUUAAUAAAAGUUCUUUUGUUUUUUUGAAACAGAUAAAAGUUCUUUAUUCUUCUUUUUUUACAAAAGAUCUUCUUUAGCACUUAUUGUAAAAUCUAUCUCCAUUGAUGGUUUAACAUGUCAUGCCAUUAAAGGUGUGUACAAAGUAUGUUCUCUUUACCUUUUUAGAUUGCCGGUUGUUAUUUUUCUUUUACGUCUUUCUUAGCAAGCUGCGACUUUCUUACCUAUAGGAAUAAUGAUAAUUAUUUCUCACAAAUGAAAUGGAUUCACAUGGAAAUGUCAAAAAUUUAAUAGAUUCGCAUUGAUAUGAGAUUUUGCAGUGUGACAUAAUUCAAAUGUGAUAAAAUUUACUUAAAAUUUUUAAACAGUGGCAUUAGACAUGGCGACAGGAGAAAUGUGAGUCUGCUCCAUGAAUCCUAUCUUUCGUCGUUCUCCACACGCAAGUUCGUCUGCCACUCCCUCCAUGUCCAUCUUUCUCUGCAGUGGUCGCUUUCCUCGGUGAAGCUCUCUCCUUUUCGAUCAUCUCGACAACUCGAUCCGUCGUGUUGGGUGAGAGUUGUAGCUGUAGCGAUGGAGAUGCAAUCUCCAUCGUCUCUUCUACAAGAUUUAGAGAUCGUUCAUGAGUUUUGCGUUGCUGCAUGCGUACGCUUACGGUAAGACUUUAUAGUCGCUUCUUGCCAUCUAACUGGUGGAAUGCUCAUUUCUGUAUGUGUUUGGCUUGUGAUCUAUGUUCACGGAGACUCUGAAUGUGGCGUGGAGGCGUGAGCUAUGUUCCCUCUAAAAUCAAGUCUCUUUGACUUCAGUUCUUGCUAGCCCAUCUUGUUGUCCAUGAGUUUGAGUAGCAUGCUUAGCAGUUCAUGCAAGGAGUCUCUUUGUUUUAUUGUGUUCACGGCUCUUAGAGCUUCAAAAAGAAGUAGCAAGGCCUUGAAGUGGUGAUACUGCACCCUUUCAUUUAGCUGACUUUGAAGAGGAGUGGGGUUGUGGAAGUUGAGCGAUGCUAAGGUUUGGUGGUUAAUAUUAUCCCCUCUAAGGCCGGUUCUUGAUUUUGGAAGAGUGUCCUAGCUUAGACUUGAGGACGGUCUUCGAGCGGGCCUCUAUGUUGUUUCAAAGGAAUGGUCUUUUGCUUCGGGUGAAAGGAUGAAAUGGCUUCUUGGUCGGUUGAUCGUGGAUCCACUUUGCCUUGGGUGUGUGGCGUGUGUCCCUUCUUUCAGUAGAUGCUCAAUCUCUCAUUCAGGUGCUUUAAGUUUGUAUCGAUUACUUCUAGUGUCACAAUCAUAAUUCCAGUUGCUGCUUGAUCUCUCACAGUCAUACUCUCAUUAAAACAUGCAUGUAUCUUACAGUUUGUCAAAUAAAAUAUGAUUUUUUCUUUGACCAAAAAAAAUAUAUGAUUUUUUUUUCAAUUCAUAAACUUCAUUUUAUAAAAAGUUAAAAAAAAAAGGUAGAAUCCUCUUUAAUACUUUUGCAUCAGAAAUGUAAAACCACAUUUGUUAUAAAAAUGAUAAACUACUUUUAAACGGAAAGAAUAAAACUUAUCCUAAAUGGGUUACUUCAAAAAGAAAUCCACCAUGGAAUUAGAUAUCAAAACGAUUUGUAUUAACGUACAUACCUUAGUUUCUCUCCUAAGAUUGCACAUACCUUAGUUUCUC
rnacentral:lncRNA from 1 species